rnacentral:rRNA from 1 species
GUGUCAGCCGCCGCGGUAAGACGAACCGUGCAAACGUUGUUCGGAAUCACUGGGCUUAAAGGGCGCGUAGGUGGAUGAGCAAGUCUGUGGUGAAAUCCCCCGGCUUAACCGGGGAACUGCCGUGGAUACUGCCCAUCUCGAGGAGGGUAGGGGCGUCUGGAACUAGCGGUGGAGCGGUGAAAUGCGUUGAUAUCGCUAGGAACUCCGGUGGCGAAGGCGAGACGCUGGACCCUUUCUGACACUGAGGCGCGAAAGCCAGGGGAGCGAACGGGAUUAGAUACCCCAGUAGUCC